rnacentral:rRNA from 1 species
CCCGGAAGCUCAAGUGGUGGCCAUUUUUUUUGGGCCUAAAGCGUUCGUAACCGGUUUGAUAAGUCUCUGUUGUAUCCCCGAAGCUUAACUGUGGGGCUUGUUGGCGAGACUAUUAGACUUGUGGUUGGGAGAGGUUAGCGGUUCUCCCAGGGUACGGGUGAGAUCCGAUAAACCUGGGAGGACCAACUGUGGCAAAGGCGCCUAACUGGAACGAACCUAACAAUGAGGAACGAGAGCCAGUGGCACCAACCA